AUGGAGGGGACACCUGGAGCCCUGGNNNNNNNNNNNNNNNNNNNNNNNNNNNNNNNNNNNNNNNNNNNNNNNNGGAGCCGUGCGGGUGGCACCCAUGGAGGUGACACCUGGAGCCAUGGGGGUGGCACCCAUGGAGGUGACGCCUGGAGCCAUGGGGGUGGCACCCAGGGUUGUGGAGGUGGCACCCAGGGAGGUGUUGCUCACGGAGAUGUCACCAACGGAGGUGGCACCCAUGGGGAUGUCACCCAUGGAGGUGGCACCCAUGGAGGUGUCACCCGGAGCCAUGGAGGUGGCACCCAUGGAGGUGUCACCCGGAGCCAUGGAGGUGUCACCUGGAGCCAUGGAGAUGUCACCCAGAGCCACGGAGGUGGCACCCAAGGAGGUGUUGCUCACGGAGAUGUCACCAACGGAGGUGGCACCCAUGGGGAUGUCACCCAUGGAGGUGGCACCCAUGGAGGUGUCACCCGGAGCCAUGGAGGUGUCACCUGGAGCCAUGGAGAUGUCACCCAGAGCCACGGAGGUGGCACCCAAGGAGGUGUUGCUCACGGAGAUGUCACCAACGGAGGUGGCACCCAUGGGGAUGUCACCCAAGGAGAUGUCACCCAUGGAGGUGGCACCUGGGGCCGUGGAGGUGGCACCCACGGGGUUGUCACCCAUGGAGGUGACAUCUGGAGCCAUGGAGGUGGCACCCAUGGAGGUGGCACCCACGGAGGUGUCACCCACGGAGAGGUCACCCACGGAGAUGUCACCCAUGGAGAUGUCACCCAGAACCACGGAGAUGUCACCCGGAGCCGUGGAGGUGUCACCCACGGAGGUGUCACCCACGGAGGUGUCACCUGGAACCAUGAAGAUGUCAACCAUGGGGAUGUCACCUGGGGGAGCGUCACCCAUGGAAGUGUCACCCAGAGCCACGGAGGUGUCACCUGGGGAAGCGCCUCCUGGGGUGGUGUCACCCACGGCGGUGUCACCCGUGGAGGUGUCACCCAGAGCCAGGGGGAUGUCACCUGUGGAGGUGUCACCUGGGGAGACGUCACCCAGAACCACGUCGGUGGUGGCCACAGAACCGGUGGAGGUGUCACCCAUGGAGGUGUCACCCCUGGAGGUGUCACCCAUGGAGGUGUCACCCGUGGAGGUGUCACCCGUGGAGAUGUCACCCGUAACCACGUCACUGAUGGCCAUGGGGCCUGCGGAGGUGUCACCCAUCACGAUGUCACCCGUGGGACCACCGCGGAUGGCAGUGCCACCCACCUGAACGGCACCCCGAGCUACAGCGUCACCGAUGUCACCCAACACGGCGUCACCCAUCAUCAUGGCAUCACCCAACAUGGCGUCACCGGUGUCACCCAUCACGGUGUCACCCAACAUGACAUCACCCAUCAUGGUGUCACCAAUGUCACCCAUCACAGCGUCACCCAUCACGGUGUCACCCACCACGGCGUCCCCUCCACGUCCCCAGAGGGGCCACCGAAGCGGCACGGUGAUCUGCCAGGACCUGGGGGCAAGAGGGCACGGCUGGAGGCCACCAGCAACGGGGACAACGCGGCCACCGGGUGAGUGCCAGCGUCACACCUGGGUGCCCGCCAGACUGGGACCAUCCCAGUUGGGUGCUGACC
ensembl:lncRNA